rnacentral:tRNA from 1 species
GUCUUCCUGGUGUAGUGGUCAGCACGCUCGACUAGUAGGCGAGAGGUCCGUGGUUCGAUUCCCAGAAAAGGCG